rnacentral:rRNA from 1 species
AUGAGUUUUCACUUAAAGGGCGCUUAGAUCAUGCUUCUAGGCGUUGCCCAAGGAUGGGGCCGCGACCGAUCAGGUUGUUGGUGAGGUAAUGGCUCACCAAGCCUCUAACCGGUGCGGGCCGUGAGAGCGGGAGCCCGGAGAUGGGCACUGAGACAAGGGCCCAGGCCCUACGGGGCGCAGCAGUCGCGAAAACUUUGCAAUACACGAAAGUGUGACAGGGUCAUCCCGAGUGCCGUCCGCUGAGGAUGGCUUUUACUCAGUCUAGAACGCUGAGGGAAUAAGGAGAGGGCAAGUCUGGUGUCAGCCGCCGCGGUAAUACCAGCUCUCCGAGUGGUGUGGAUGUUUAUUGGGCCUAAAGCAUCCGUAGCUGGCUGGGCAAGUCCCCUGUUAAAUCCACCGAUUUAAUCGUUGGUGUGCGGGGGAAACUGCUCGGCUAGGGGACGAGAGAGGCAGACGGUAUUUCCGGGGUAGGGGUGAAAUCCUAUAAUCCCGGGAAGACCACCAGUGGCGAAGGCUGUCUGCUAGAACGCGCCCGACGGUGAGGGAUGAAAGCUGGGGGAGCGAACCGGAUUAGAUACCCGGGUAGUCCCAGCUGUAAACGAUGCAGGCUAGGUGUUUGGGCGGCCACGUGCCGCUCUAGUGCCGCAGGGAAGCCGUUA